UACGUAGGUGGCAAGCGUUGUCCGGAUUUACUGGGCGUAAAGGAUGUGUAGGCGGAUACUUAAGUGAGAUGUGAAAACCCGGGGCUCAACCCCGGGACUGCAUUGGAAACUAUGUAACUAGAGUGUCGGAGAGGUAAGCGGAAUUCCUAGUGUAGCGGUGAAAUGCGUAGAGAUUAGGAAGAACAUCAGUGGCGAAGGCGGCUUUCUGGACUGUAACUGACGCUGAGGCAUGAAAGCGUGGGGAGCAAACAGGAUUAGAUACCCUGGUAGUCCACGCCGUAAACGAUGAGUACUAGGUGUAGGAGGUAUCGACUCCUUCUGUGCCGCAGUUAACACAAUAAGUACUCCGCCUGGGAAGUACGGUCGCAAGAUUAAA
rnacentral:rRNA from 1 species